rnacentral:tRNA from 1 species
GCAUUGGUGGUCUAGUGGUAUGAUGUAAAACUGCAAUGGUUGUGACCCAGGCUCGAUUCCAGGUCAAUGCA